GCCUGUUUAUCAAAAACAUCUCUUCUAGUAUGAUAUUAGAAGUAGGCCCUGCCCGGUGCCUUGCGAGGUAAACGGCGGUGUUAAACCUUAAAGUAGCGUGAUAAGUCGGCCUUUAAUUGGGGUCUGGUAUGAAAGGGUUGACGUCGGAAAAACUGUCUCGGAAGAAUUAAGUGAAAUUUACUUUUAAGUGAAAAGGCUUAAAUUAAAGUAAAAGACGAGAAGACCCUGUCGAGCUUGAGGGAUUUGAAUGUUUAUCAAACGUGAUUAGGAGUUUGGCUGGGGCAGCAAUGGAGGUAGCCUCCGUUUUUAGCGCAUAGAUCCAUUUUAUCUAAGAUAAUGAAAAAAGAAAAAAGCUACCGCAGGGAUAACAGCACAAGACCGCCUCAGAGGUCGUAUCGAAGGCGGUAAGUGUGACCUCGAUGUUGGAUUAGGGUAAACCUCUUUGUGCAGGAGCAAAGCGGGUAGGACUGUUCUUCCUUUAAUCCCCUACGUGAUCUGAGUUCAAGACCGGGA
rnacentral:rRNA from 1 species